GCAUCCAGAAGCCAGCCGAUCUUGCGUCUUUUGGGGGUUACUGCUGCGUCCACUUUGUCCCCAUCCUGUUUCUGUCAAGUGACAGCAGUACUAACUGCGGUUCCCCCAUCCACUGUGGCAUGGCGUGUUUUCCACAGCACAUCCUGUGUCCUGAGAGUGUGGGAUGCAUGUUCCCUAUAUAACCUGUCUUUACUACACAGGGCAAGUGUUUGACCCAGACAUUGACCUGUGUUGAAUUUGAUGGACCCUAUGAGCAGUCUUUUUGGAUAGUAGCUUUGGGCAGUGCUGGCAGGACCUCAGGCGAGGACUGCAAGAGGCCAUGAAUCCAGAGAACCUCCCAGCAGAGCCCCCCCCACCCGCCCUGUCCCCAUGGCUGGGUCAUAGGUGGGAUGCACAAGGGUGUCGUUUUCAGGCACCUGGAAGUGUGGUGCCAUCAGAGCAGGCAGGCUCCCUGGGUUUGGGCGUGUUUCCUAACCUUCUCUUCCACGGUGAUGUUCAGGGCUCUUUUGUACCCUGUUCCGAACUCUUGGAAGGACGGAGCUGCGAGACCUGGGGCUGGGCCCUCUCGGGCUGCUGCCCUGGCUGUGUUCCAAGCCCUGUCACUGCUCAUUCCCCUUAGAAACGUGAAUUAAAAAUGUAUCUAUUGUCCUUGUGUUGGUGGUGAGGGCAGGACUGAUUGUGAAAGGCCCCAGUGGGCUGGGAUUGCUUUUUCAGGGACUUCUUGCCAAAGAGGAUUUGAGAGCUCCUUAGACUAUGGUUUGCUUGUUUUCCCAAGUCAGGAUAGGGGUUAUUCCCGCGUGUGCGCGUGUGUGUUUUGUUAAGAAAUUCUUCACAUUUUCCUGUGUUGUCUUUCCUUUUCUUGGGUCAGAAGAAUCUCACUAAGUGUCAGUGCAGCAUGUGGGCACAUUGCAAGGAAGGGAGAGGUAGACUGUGUUAGUCCAGGUGACAGUGUCACUGGGCUCCUCAGAGAUCCCGGCUGUGUCACGAAGUGAAAAAUGUGCUGGGAGGUUUUCCUGAGCUCAAAGGGCUUGAAAAUAACCCUGGGAGGAUGGGUUCAGUGCCACCCUGCGCCCCUCUGUUCAGGGCCAUAUAUUGGACUGGCCUGGAAAUUGGCCUACAUUUUGGGGUGAUUUGAUCUAAUAAUAUCAAAGGUUUUUGUGGUUGUUAUUUUUUACAAAAUCAGAGUUAUUAAUAUCAGAGAGAUAGCACUGGGGGAGUUUGCCCUGUUUAUUGUUGCCUUAUCGGUGGGAUAACAGAAUGUAAAUUGUUUUUUAUGAUGGGACGCCGACAAGCUGGUCCAGUUUCUGCAAAGCCCUGCCUGUCAUGUUAAUUCUGACCCAAUCCACGGGUCCUUCGACAGCCUCACACAGCGUGUGUGAAAACAGCCAGACUCCCUGGCACAGACCCGCAUUUCUUGCCAACAAAGGAAUAUUGUACGUUAAAUGAAAACCCAAUUUCAAAGCAAAUGGCAACAUUUUAAAAGGCUGGAUUCACUGGGACACAAAUAGUGCAUUAAUGAAGCAAUUUCUCCUGGCUCCCACUUAUUCUGUCGGCACAGCAGGUAAUUCUGUGUUGCACGGGAAUUUCCAUUUUCAUGGAUGAUUCCUGUCUUUCCUUCUUUCUCAGAUGACUGACUGACACAAAGAAGUGAAACCCAGACCUCUUAUAAAGUCUUUUCAUCAGCAGAUCCACUUCUUGCUAUUACAGAUUACUUCAAAUUUCAGAAACAAGAUAAAUAGGAGCCCGGACUCCUCAAAGGGGGCGUUGGAAUCUGACAGCCGGGCCAGGUGCAUCCGAUCUGCGUCAGUUAGAGGAGUGCUCCGUGCCUGCUUCAUACUUGGAUUGUUGUUAGUGUGUGGGGAGCAGUAAGCAUGGAUUACUUGGGGAAAUGCUUUUGUUUUGUUUUUUGGUUUUUGGGGUUUUUUUGAGGGGGGCUUUUUAUCUUUAUAUUUUUUGUCUUUUUGCUAUUUCUUGGGCCACUCCCGCAGCACAUGGAGGUUCCCAGCCUCUGGCCUACACCAAAGCCACAGCAACGUGGGAUCUGAGCCGCGUCUGCAACCUACACCACAGCUCACGGCAAUGCCGGAUCGUUAACCCACUGAGCAAGGGCAGGGACCGAACCCUCAACCUCAUGGUUCCUAGUCAGAUUCGUUAACCUCUGCACCAUGACGGGAACUCCUGGGGGGGGGGCUUUUUAGAGCUGUACCCCCAGCAUAUGGAAGUUCCCAGGCUAGGAGUCAAAUAGGAGCUCCAGCUGCUGCCCUACGCCACAGCCACGCCAGAUCUGAGCCAAAUCUGCAACCUACACCACAGCUCACGGCAAAGCUGGAUCCUUAACCCACUGAGUGAGGUCAGGGAUCAAACCUGCAUCCUCAAGGAUCCUAGUUGGGUUCAUUAACUGCUGAUACAUGAAGGGAAUGCCCCAAAAUAGGCUGUUUUGAUUUUGCAGAUGUGAAGCCUUUGUCAGAGAACAGGGUGAUUUGAUGAAACUGCGUGCUGGGAGUUUUGUUGAGUUCAUGUGAUGAAAAGAUGAUGGACACAUCAAGAUGAAAAGACACUGCAGUACUUGGCCCUGGGAGUGAGCUGGGAACGUGCUCCAGCCUUUCAAAGCUGAUUCCUUCUCAUGUCAUGUUCCAUGUGGGAUGCAUUUGGGCUUAUUUUCUUCAUCUGACUUAAGAGCCCCCCACCCCCACCCCGAUGUUUUACUCAUCACUUGCGUUUCGGUUUCCUAGGUGUUUAAAUGAGAGAAAAGUCCACCAGAAUGAGCAGGGAGCACAGGGACCAGCAUUCUUUGACUCCUCCCACGUGCCAAGAUCAGGCCAGGCGCUUGCUUCUCUGUGGUCUUACGGGAUGAAAAGUUUUAAUUCCCAUUUUGCAGAAAGUCAGUGCUCCAGAUGCCACAGCCCUGCUUUGUACUAGGUCUGUGUUCUCUCUUCUGUGCUCCCAGGUGUGCUUCUAGGUGUGUGAUGUCAGAGCAUCCCAGGCCACUGCUUCCUCUAGGGUCUGGAGAAAAGAUCAGAGGUGUUCUCUCUGGACUGGAAUGAAGAACAAGGGAGAGGAUGAUUUGGUCAUUCACUCAGCAGAUAUUUUUAUUUGCCAGACACUGUUCUCGGUGUAUCCUCAACCAAGCAGGCUUCUGUUCUUUUCUGUCAUUUAGCUAAGAUUUACAUAUUGAUAGACGCUAAUUCUCAUUUCUGGUGGAGGUUAAACAUUUAGAGAAUAGCCCUGGGAUAGCUUUGUUUGGGGGGAACUACAAACAGCAAAAUGUUUUGAGUUAAUACCCUGCGGGGCAGUUCAUAAACCACGUGGGAUGCUUGGAAAAUAUUCAAUAAUGGCAUUUCUUCAGGUACGUUCUGUGGGUAUUCGGUCAAAUACAAAUAAAUGGUUUCUUUACUUUAGAACUUGGAGCCCUUAAUACACUCUUGCAUUGUCCAUCUCCUGCAGUAUUUCCACGCUUAUUUGACCAUAAACCCUUUUUUCUAAGUGCUUCUAGCCCACAGCAUGUUCAGGAAAACUUAGCUUACUGUCUAGAUACAGAGUGCUGUGUCUUCCUCCUGUAAGUUUUUUUUUUUUUUUUUUUCUUCCCUGCUCAGAAAGCAAACAGUUGUGUCUUUCAGGAUUCUUUUUAUUGAAGACCACUUCUGUGUUUCUAAUGGUAAAUUUAUUAGGCUUUACUUUAGGGUCAGAGAUUAAAUAUCUGAUGACGUCAAUGUGUGCAAACAACUCUAAGCGUUAGGCUUUCCUUGCCGCAAUCUGCCCUUCUGCUUGUCCUGAAGUUGCUGGGUAAAGCUACUGUGUUCCUACUUAAGAAAUAGGUACUUACCCUGGCCUGGAAUUAACUCAUCCAUUGGUUUCUGAGGGUGGGUAUUUUCUACCAUUGUGUUUUCAGAGGUUCAGACAGUUGUCCCUGUGCUUUAAGCCCAAAUAAUAAUUAUAAGCUGGGUGCAAGCUGAAGACUUUUAUUUUAAAUUACCCUUCGGAAAAAACCACAAGCCCUCCCUCAGAGGGCUUGAUGGGAAGUGAAGUAGUCCAGUCCCCCCUGGACCCCAUUUCUUGUCCACACAGAGGCUCACUGUUCAAGUUCUAAACAUAUGCUGUCUUUCCCCGUGUGUGUGGGCACAGGAGGAAGCAGGGCCCAGAACCAAGAUUGACCUCAUCCUGGGAACCAGCCUUCUGCAGAGGGAGGUGAGCAUGAAACCAAAGAAGUGGAAACAGAAACAGCCUUUGCUGGCCCUCAUUGCUUAUCCAUUCUAAAUGUAAUAGUUUUGGAGUUCCCAUCAUGGCUCAGCAGGUUAAGAAGCCAGCUAGUAUCCAUGAGGAUGCAGGUUCAAUUCCUGGCCUCACUCAGGCGGUUAAGGAUCCGGCAUUGCCGUGAGUUGUGGUGUAGGUCACAGGCAUGGCUAGGAUCCCGAGUUGCUAUGGCUGUGGCAUAGGCUGGCAGCUGUAGUUCCAUUCACAAUUCAACCCCUAGCAUGCAAACUUCCAUGUGCUUCAGGUGGUGUGGGCCCCCCCGCCCCCAAAAAAGGUAAAUGAAAUAGUUUGCAUCUACUAACCCCAAACUCCCUAUCUAUCCCACUCCCUCCCUCUUCCUCCCUGGCAACCACAAAUCUGUUCUCUUCUAUGCCUGUGAAUCUGUUUCUGUUUUGCAGAUAGGUUCACUUGUGCCAUAUUUUAGAUUCCACAUGUAAGUGAUGUCAUACGGUAUUUGUCUUUCUCUUUCUGACUUACUUCACUUAGUAUGAAAAUCUCUAGUUCCAUCCAUAUUGCUGCAAAUGGCAUUAUUUGUUCUUUUUAAUGGCUGAGAAGCAAACCGUUGUGUAUAUGUACCACAUCUUCUUAAUCCAUUCAUCUGUUGAUGGACAUUUAAGUUGCUUCCAUGUCUUGGCUAUUGCAAAUAGUGCUGCAGAGAACACAGAAGUGCAUAUAUCUUUUGAAUUAUAGUUUGGUCCAGAUAUAUGCCCAAGAGUGGGAUUGCUUGACACAGGGUAGUUCUAUAUUUAGUUUUCUGAGGAACCUCCAUACAGUUUUCCACAGCGGUUGUACCAACUUACAUUCCCAUCAACAGUGUAGGAGGGUUCCAUUUUCGAAGGUGACCUCUGUCUUAAGUGGACACUUGCCAGGUGCUAUGCUGAGUGUUUCAUUUACAGCUUCUCAUUUAAUUCUCAGAACAACCAAAGGAGGUAUCUUGCCAUUUAAUGGAUGGGAAACUGAGGCUGAAGAACCUUGAAUAUUGUACCUGGGGCACGAAAAUCAGAGCUGGAGGAGCCCAGGUACAGGUGCCUUUCAGUUUCACCAGGUCCUGUGCUGCCUCGAUGGGGAUGGAGGAUGGGGGUUCCGGUUAAGAUAAUGCUUCCAGAACUUUUCGUAGUAAACCUUGUUUACUGUGGAAAGAGUAAAAUCAUGUAUGAUUUGACUGGAAAAUGGGAGCUGCAGGGAAAGUCAGUGUUUACUCUGUGAUGUCACAGGCAGCUGCAAUGGCGAUGCUGAGGGUGUCUUGGGAUAUGGUUUAUAACCCGGAGUGGCCAGUAAACAGCCUCAGGGCCCAGAAGAAGGAGGAAAAGCAAACUCCUUUUUGUCAUCAAAGUGCCUUUUAGAUUUUAGAUGAACUCAUUCAGAAACCUGAGGUCUAAAUGCUGGUCGCUUUCAGCAUUCCUGAAACAUCCGUGUGAAAUUAUUCUUUUUACUCUCCCUGGUUUUGUUACUACUUUCAGAACAUGUUGAAAGUAAAAUAAUUCCCAUGUGUGCAUAUGUGUUUUUAGUUUAGCAAAUAUUGGUUUUUUUCAGAUCCUUCCUGCCCAGCCUCCUCUAAUCCCUUCUUCAAGAUAUUCCCAGUAGAGACAAACUUUCCUGGGUUUUGCAUCAACAAAUCCCCUGAGGAGGAAGUUAGCACUGGUGUUUGUUAAUUGAUAAAGCUGAUUCUGGCAGUUGGACAGAGUGAUUGUAGU
rnacentral:lncRNA from 1 species